rnacentral:rRNA from 1 species
GACGAACGCUGGCGGCGUGCUUAACACAUACGAGUCGAACGGAAAGGCCCUGCUUUUGUGGGGUGCUCGAGUGGCGAACGGGUGAGUAACACGUGAGUAACCUGCCCUUGACUUUGGGAUAACUUCAGGAAACUGGGGCUAAUACCGGAUAGGAGCUCCUGCUGCAUGGUGGGGGUUGGAAAGUUUCGGCGGUUGGGGAUGGACUCGCGGCUUAUCAGCUUGUUGGUGGGGUAGUGGCUUACCAAGGCUUUGACGGGUAGCCGGCCUGAGAGGGUGACCGGCCACAUUGGGACUGAGAUACGGCCCAGACUCCUACGGGAGGCAGCAGUGGGGAAUAUUGCACAAUGGGCGGAAGCCUGAUGCAGCAACGCCGCGUGCGGGAUGACGGCCUUCGGGUUGUAAACCGCUUUCGCCUGUGACGAAGCGUGAGUGACGGUAAUGGGUAAAGAAGCACCGGCUAACUGCGUG